AUGGACCGGGUGGAGAGCGUUGCGCCGUCAUCGUGCAUCAAGCAGACGGGCUGUAUGUUCGAGGCAGGGUUUGUGGGGCUUUUUUCCUUUGCUCCCCUUGCUUUCUUUUGGCAACUCUUGUCUGGCUUGUGGUGCCAGCAGAGUCUCACUGCUCGCAAUUGAACUGGUAAUAAACAGCAUUGCCCUUAAUGCUAUCGUUUCCACAUGUAAUAAAAGACCAACCCUUCAGACAGGUCUGUAUGCAGCUAUACGACACCGACACCCGUGAGCUGUGAAGCAGGAUCUUCUCUACAUAUCCAGGCUCCAGUUUCUGCAUCUUCCAGUGGGUGUCUCUUGGGAUUUCAUCCCUUCCUGUUACUCACAUUCCUGUUAAAAAGCAACAGAGAUAUUUUUUUAUUGCUAUUAUUUCCUUGACUGGAGAGUUCAAGCUUGAGAGGCAUGGACAAGAUGCACACAUGAUCCCACUUUUCUUUCAGGUUCUUUUAACCAUUCUCCUCAAGCACAAAGGGAUUUUGAGAAAUUUAAAUAAAAAUUUUCUAGCCAAGAGAUCAGAUAGUCAAGAAUUCUCAUUAUUCUGACACUCCCACCCAACUUUUCACCCCUCUGCACUUUUGCUUCCUAUGUGAAAAUCUACUCACUUUAUAAGCCUUAGUAAGAUUCAAGCCCUUGAAAAUCUGGUUGUUCAAGGUGGUAGAUCCUAAAGAAAAUUGAGAAUUCCAUUGACUCAGAUUUUCUUGGUGUUCCCCAGUAAUGCUCAGGCAGUGUCUUCAUUGUAUUUUGACUUAUGUGAAAAAAAAAAAAUCUCCUUAAAAUGUACUGCAAAUUUUGAUUAAAUGUGUUAUUUUAUUGUCUAGUGCUCACAGAAGCUUUUAGAGAACUUACUAAUUCCACAGGGAAACAGCAGCCAAUGCUUUUGUCAUAACAAACCAUGGACAUGUAGACUGGAGAGGAGACAAUGCUGAGACUCUUACUGAUGCUUUUGAACAGUCUUCUUUCAUACAGCUGCUUUUCAGAUGCAAGUGUAAGGCAUCCUAAAAAGGAUGGAGUUUCACUGCUGCAUAUCAUCUGUGCACAGGUGGACUAUGAUAAUAGCUUCCGAAUAUGAGCAUCUUACAUUCACCCAGCUACUUGUGGCACAUGAUAAGAAUAGGGCAUACAACCUGGGAACUGCCCUCUGCCUGUUGGUCUGCAGGGGCAACUCUGCAGCUCACGUUCUCCAGCCCUCCUGUCAUAAGAGCUAAUGAGAGGUUUGGGUGAUAACAGAGAGCCAUGUGGGAUUUCCCAUACUGAGUCUCCUGUUCUUACUUGACUACCAUUCUCAGCAAUGUUCACUUUUCAGCCUAGAACUUCCUGUUCUUUACCCAGAGAUGGGGUAGUACUUUGGUCUGCUUGUCAUUUUUGCAGUUUUGAUAAAAUAGCCUGUGAUUUUUAAAGAGGAGCACAUUCCUAUUAUUGACUAAAUCCUGUUUUAUUUUUCUUUAAUCAGACAAAAUAGUUGACAACUGAAAUAUAGCACGGGAAUAGCCUUCAAGGAGUCAAGCAUAGCCUUGUCCUGAAAUAAAUUGUUUUACUGAAUUUCAUCCUUCAAAAUUAUGUUUUACUGUGCAUUCCUUGUGUCAGGGUCCAGUCCAGAAAGAAACUGGCUCUGAGUUUGUCUAAGCGUCAAAGAAACUUUUCUGUAAAAAUCUCCAUGUUAAGAGUCUCGUUCUGUAAGACGCUAUUUGGUUAAGUGGUGUCUUGCCAGGGGUGUUGGUUGAUGAAAAGGCUCAACCAGUAGUGUGCACUUGCAGCCCAGAAAGCCAACAGUAUGCUGGGCUGCAUCAAAAGGAUCAUGGUCAGCAGGUCAAGGAAGAUGAUUUUCCUCCUCUACUCUGCUCUCCAGAGAUCCCACCUGGAGUACUGUGUUCAGCUCUUGGGACCCCAACAUAAGCAGGAUGUGGAUCUGUUGAAGUGAGUCCAGAGGAGGGCCACUGAGAUGAUCAGAGGGCCACCUCUUCUGUGAACACA